rnacentral:rRNA from 1 species
UGAAGCAUGAUCGUAAGGACAUGUGGAGCGCUUAGAAGUGAGAAUGCCGGUGUGAGUAGCGAAAGACGGGUGAGAAUCCCGUCCACCGAUUGACUAAGGUUUCCAGAGGAAGGCUCGUCCGCUCUGGGUUAGUCGGGUCCUAAGCUGAGGCCGACAGGCGUAGGCGAUGGAUAACAGGUUGAUAUUCCUGUACCACCUAUAAUCGUUUUAAUCGAUGGGGGGACGCAGUAGGAUAGGCGAAGCGUGCGAUUGGAUUGCACGUCUAAGCAGUAAGGCUGAGUAUUAGGCAAAUCCGGUACUCGUUAAGGCUGAGCUGUGAUGGGGAGAAGACAUUGUGUCUUCGAGUCGUUGAUUUCACACUGCCGAGAAAAGCCUCUAGAUAGAAAAUAGGUGCCCGUACCGCAAACCGACACAGGUAGUCAAGAUGAGAAUUCUAAGGUGAGCGAGCGAACUCUCGUUAAGGAACUCGGCAAAAUGACCCCGUAACUUCGGGAGAAGGGGUGCUCUUUAGGGUUAACGCCCAGAAGAGCCGCAGUGAAUAGGCCCAAGCGACUGUUUAUCAAAAACACAGGUCUCUGCUAAACCGUAAGGUGAUGUAUAGGGGCUGACGCCUGCCCGGUGCUGGAAGGUUAAGAGGAGUGGUUAGCUUCUGCGAAGCUACGAAUCGAAGCCCCAGUAAACGGCGGCCGUAACUAUAACGGUCCUAAGGUAGCGAAAUUCCUUGUCGGGUAAGUUCCGACCCGCACGAAAGGCGUAACGAUUUGGGCACUGUCUCAACGAGAGACUCGGUGAAAUCAUAGUACCUGUGAAGAUGCAGGUUACCCGCGACAGGACGGAAAGACCCCGUGGAGCUUUACUGUAGCCUGAUAUUGAAAUUCGGCACAGCUUGUACAGGAUAGGUAGGAGCCUUUGAAACGUGAGCGCUAGCUUACGUGGAGGCGCUGGUGGGAUACUACCCUAGCUGUGUUGGCUUUCUAACCCGCACCACUUAUCGUGGUGGGAGACAGUGUCAGGCGGGCAGUUUGACUGGGGCGGUCGCCUCCUAAAAGGUAACGGAGGCGCUCAAAGGUUCCCUCAGAAUGGUUGGAAAUCAUUCAUAGAGUGUAAAGGCAUAAGGGAGCUUGACUGCGAGACCUACAAGUCGAGCAGGGUCGAAAGACGGACUUAGUGAUCCGGUGGUUCCGCAUGGAAGGGCCAUCGCUCAACGGAUAAAAGCUACCCCGGGGAUAACAGGCUUAUCUCCCCCAAGAGUUCACAUCGACGGGGAGGUUUGGCACCUCGAUGUCGGCUCAUCGCAUCCUGGGGCUGUAGUCGGUCCCAAGGGUUGGGCUGUUCGCCCAUUAAAGCGGUACGCGAGCUGGGUUCAGAACGUCGUGAGACAGUUCGGUCCCUAUCCGUCGUGGGCGUAGGAAAUUUGAGAGGAGCUGUCCUUAGUACGAGAGGACCGGGAUGGACAUACCUCUGGUGUACCAGUUGUCGUGCCAACGGCAUAGCUGGGUAGCUAUGUGUGGACGGGAUAAGUGCUGAAAGCAUCUAAGC